CUCUAGCAGGCAGACACACACGCGGCUGGACGUCAAGACAAACACAUUGGCAGAGGAACACACAAGCACCUGGAUGUGGAGAGGGUGUCGAGAGCACGCUGACAGGUACCGGCAAGCCUGCAGGCCAUCGACCGACCGGCCGAACGACUUGGAGUUUGGUCAGGGCGGUUGGAGGAGAGCCGGGGCUGCUGAGCGGCAGGAAUCCAGGGGAAAACCUUUCCACUCCAUCCCUCAUCUGCUGAAAACUACCUCCACUCAAUAAAACCUUGCACUCAUUCUCUAAGCCCAGGUGUAAUCUGAUUCUUCCAAUACACCAAGGCAAGAACCCGGGAUACAGAAAGCCCUCUGUCCUUACGACAAAGAAGAGGAUCUAAUUGAGCUGGUUAACAUAAGCCGCUUAUAGGCAGCAAAACUAAAAGAGCACAGGGCGCACGCCCACUGGGGCUUCAGGAGCUGUAAACAUCUACCUCUAGAUGCUGCCGUGGGGUUGGAGGCCCAAGCUUGUCCAUCUGUAUGCUCCCCUAGAGGUUUGAAGAAGCGAGCCACUCUCCCUGUUGAACGCCCUGCAAAGAGACCAGGGGAACUUUUCCCGUUUCAAUUCCGUAUCAGUACAUUUUGAACUUCCUUAUUUUUUCAUAUAUUCUGUAAAAUUCCUUUGUAUAAAUGGAUACUUAAUGACUAUUUUUCAAAUAGCCAGAAAACUAGCUCAUUUUGCUAGAUAUCUAAUUGUGUUUAUAAAAUAACAAAUGCUUCAAUGUGUAGUAAUUUUCCUGUUGUAAUUCUCACAAGAGCAAGUAUAUCUGUAGAAUCAAGGCCUAGAAGAGAAACUCUGGAUCCAAAGAAUAAAUACACUAGUAAUUUUGGUAACAUUUACCAAAUAGUUUUCUUUUACUCUGCCACUGGAAGAGUUGUUGUGAAAGACAAACAUUAGAAUUAAAGAUGUUUGCAGCUGGGUGCAGUGGCUCUUACCUGUAAUCCCAGCACUUUGAGAAGCCGAGGCAAGCGAAUCACUUGAGGUCAGGAGUUUGAGACCAUCCCAGCCAACAUGGUGAAACCCUAUCUCUACUAAAAACACAAAAAAUUAGCCUGGCGUGGUGGUGUGCGCAUGUAAUCUCACCUACUCAGGGGGGAUGAGGCAGGAUAAUUGCUUGAACCCGAGAGGCGGAGGUUGCAGUGAGCCAAGAUGGCACAAUUUGCCCUAAACCUACAUGCAGAAGAAUGAAAUUAGACCCUCAUCUCACACCGUAUACAAAAAUCAACUCAAAAUGAGUGAAAAAGCUUAAAUGUAAGACCUGAAGCUGUAAAACUACUAGAAGAAAACAGGGGGAAAGCUCCAUGACAUGGAUCUGAGCAAUGAUUUUUUGGACAUGACUUCAAAAUCACAGGCAAACAAAAGCAAAAAUUAAAACGUAUGAUUAUGUUAAAUCAAAAAGCUUCUGCACAGCCAAGGGAAUAAUAAAGAAACAAUCUAUGGAAUGGGAGAAUAUAUUUGCAAACCAUACAUCUGAUAAGGGGUUAAUGUACAAAAUAUAUAAGGAACUCGAACAACUCAAUGUUAAGAAAACAAGAACCUAAUUAAAAAGUAGGCAAAGAACCUGAAUAGACAUUUCUCAAAAGAAGACAUACAAAUGGACAACAGCAGAGGAAGAGGAGCGACUGAAGAAGAAAGAGGGUGGAGGUGAAGAUGUGGAGCUCAUAUUGAAUCUUUGGAAAAGUGAAAAUGGCUUUUAGUAUCCAGUAAGAAGAGUAAAUAGAAGAAUUUUAGCCACAAAUGGAAAAGAAAACGUCUCUUCCUCAGCUCAAAGAGACAAGCUCUUGUCAGUUCCUGUAAAAUUUAAUGCUGGUGGGCCUGGAAGCACAUUUCUCAGACACCCUAGCAAAUAGGAAUGACCAAGUAAUAUAAUUUUGCCAAUAAAAAUAUGCACAAUAUUUGGUGGAAAUUUCUCACAAAAUCUUGCUUUCCUCACAUAAAUGUUUCAUCUUCAUGCUUGUUGCUUUCUCUUUUUCCUUCCUAUUCAGAAAGGAGAUGGAUCAAUAAUUGUACAAGCAUGAAGACAAAUGCCAUAUCACAGCAAUGGUGAAAAGAAAGCCUAGAAGAAAUUUGUCUUCCCAACUUUUUUGGAACCCCUGAAUCAGAUUGACUGCCUCGAAAUAGACUUCUUUUUAAACACACAAAAAAAGUAAUCUCAUUUUUAACAGCCAUAAGAAUAUACCUUGUGGACCAUAAAUACUGUAAAAUUAUUUGACCAGGGCCCCUAGCUGUUCUAUUCCCAAGUGCUUUGUUGUGUUUUUGCUGUGGCUCAGUAUCCCAUGAACUGUUUCCAGCUAAUAACUGAGUGCAUAAGGGAUACUAAGACAGACAAAGUUUCUGGGAGACUAAGGACUCCUCCGACAGCUGAAUUUAGUGUCAGGCCUUCCUUGCUUAACUCAACUUACACUGCAAGGUGGCCUAGGUUGCUUCCAUCCAAACUUCUUCCCUCUAUCCUUGCACUGUGGUCUGAUGAUUCUCUCAGCUGACAUUUUCUCUGACAGGUAUUUCCCCUAAUAACACUUAAUUUUGUCUUGAUGUCUGGUUCUGGGAGGACCCAGCUUAGCACACUAUUUUUAUAAGACACUGCUAAUUUAUGCAGGACAAACUUUUUGCUGGGCAAAGACAAAAAAAU
rnacentral:lncRNA from 1 species